GGGCCCAUAGCUCAGCGGUUAGAGCAGUCCCCUCAUAAGGGAUUGGUCCCUGGUUCGAUCCCAGGUGGGCCCA
rnacentral:tRNA from 1 species